AUCAUACCAGCACUAAUGCACCGGAUUCCAUCAGAACCCCGCAGUUAAGCGUGCUUGGGCGAGAGUAGUACUAGGAUGGGUGACCUCCCGGGAAGUCCUCGUGUUGCACCUUUUUUUGUUCCUCUUGAUUCUUUUCUUUUUAUUUUAUUUUUUGUCUUUUCACUUGAAAAUACAAAGGCAUCUUCCGAAGGACGCUAUUUCUAGACCGUGUGGAACCAGGCCUCCUACAACAACUUUUCGGAAAGCCCCUAGAGUGCUCUCGGGCUUGCCCAAGAAUUUAAAAACCAAGGGUGCGGUUUACGAGGCCAAAAUUUUGAGUUUUAGACCCUCUUCUGGGCGUUUUUCUAAAACAUAAGCCCCGGUUUUAGUAUCUUCAAACGUGGUGUCCUAACUUAUAUAUCUUGGCACGAAUGCUCGUCGCAGCUGGGCGGGAAAACCCAUAUAAACAAUGCAACACACGCGAAGAGAUUUCAUUGCGGACUCAAAGCCAAAGGAUAUAUGCUAAUGCGAUACAUAUACUUGAUGGGUGCGAUCAUACCAGCACUAAUGCACCGAAUCCCGUCAGAACACCGCAAUUAAGCGUGCUUGGGCGAGAGUAGUACUAGGAUGGGUGACCUCCCGGGAAGUCCUCGUGUUGCACCCCUUUUUUGUUCCUCUUGAUUUUUUUGUUUUUUUUUUUUUUUGGUCUUUUCAUUUGAAAAACAAUGCAUCUUCCGAACGACGCUAUUUCAAGACCGUGUGGAACCACGCCUCCUACAGCAACUUUUCGAAAAGCCCCAAGAGUGCUCUCGGGCUUGCCCAAGGGUCUAAAGACCAUGGGUGUGGUUUACGAGGCCAAAAUUUUGAGUUUUAGACCCUCUUCCGGGCGUUUUUCUAAAACAUAAGCCCCGGUUUUAGUGUCGUCAAAUGUGGUGUCCUAACU
rnacentral:lncRNA from 1 species